rnacentral:rRNA from 1 species
GACGGAAGGUGCAAGCGUUGCUCGGAAUCACUGGGCGUAAAGGGCGUGUAGGCGGUCAAGUAAGUGGAAUGUGAAAUCCCUCGGCUUACCCGAGGACCGGCAUCCCAUACUGCUUGGCUUGAGUUCGGGAGAGGAUGUGGGAAUUCCUGGUGUAGCGGUGAAAUGCGUAGAUAUCAGGAGGAACACCGGUGGCGAAGGCGCACAUCUGGCCCGAUACUGACGCUGACAGCGCGAAAGCUAGGGGAGCAAACGGG